AUUUUAGAUAAAAAGACCAACGAUGGAGAUAUAUAAGACAUUGCUCCCAAAGAUCAGCAGGAAACUGUUUUCUGUGGAGAAAAUAUGCUGUGGAGGAAAAGAUAGUGUAAACUGCUUUUAGAAAAACAUACAGGAAAAAAGAGUGAAUGCAGAAGUUCAGAACAUCUCAUGACAGGAUUUAGCAGUAACUUCAAUCCACUCCUUGUUACAAUCCAUAAUGGACAUGUAUUUCCAUCUGUUCAGAAAGAAUAGAGGCCAGACCAGAUGUAACCUGUGAUUUACCAAAUGGGAAGCAAACACAAGGAUUGCUUUCUGUCAUCUGUUGAUAUAGAAACCAGUAGAGCUGGACUGGCAUUUCAGCAGAGCUCUCCCACUGGGAAACUGCAAAGGAAACUCAUCUGAUUCCUCUUUUUCCACUGCUCUGACUUGACAGUUCCUCUGGACAAAGCGUAUCUUACAAUGAAGCUGUAUGAGCUUGCAUCUAAAUGGUUGAUCUCUAGGGAAAAUAAAAGAAGGCUUUUUACAGCUUAUACCUUAUAUUUUUACUGGAGAGAAUGGUGAAGAGAUGAUACGAAGCUGCUCUCUGAGAAAAGAUGGUGCAAAUAAAGCCUCUGGUUUUCCUCCCUCUCCACUUCAGUGCACAUGAAAGGGUUCUGAGAGUGCCAAAGGACAUGAGGCAGGUGUUAGCAAGUUACAAAGAAAAAUCUUCAUCUGCAUUUCAUCCUCCUCCAAAUUACCCCAUGAAGAAACAUCUGUUUUCUGAUUUAAAAGAGGAAAUACAUAACGUAGAGAGUGCUCCUUGUGCCGCUGCAUUAGCUUCAUCUAAGAUAAUUAGUAUAUUCUUAUGUUUUGAUGCAAACUUUAAUAAAGAUUUUAUUUGGAAGUAUGAGGAUGGUUUGUAGUGAUAGUUUAAGACUCAACAGUUCGAAAUGUACUUUACAGUAAACUGGAUGGCAAAGCCAUCUGAGUUUGGAUUUUUUAUGGGGUUUUUUUUGGUUUUUUUUUGUUUUUUCCACAUUCAUGUGAUUUAAACAGGACAGAAUCAGAUAACAUUUUA